rnacentral:snRNA from 1 species
CGCACAUAAACUAAGUAAAAGCA